rnacentral:rRNA from 1 species
CAAUAGCGUAUACCAAAGUUGUUGCAGUUAAAACGCUCGUAGUCGAAUUUUGGUGUGAGUUAUGGAGACUCCUACUGGAUGUUGAAGUAACUUCGCCUUUGUGGAGGGGGGUGUGGUGGUACUUUAUUGUAUUGCUGCAUUUCCGCCACUGUUUACUGUGAAAAAAUUAGAGUGUUCAAAGCGAGCGUUUGCCAUGAAUACAUUAGCAUGGAAUAAUAGAAUAGGACCUGGUUCUGUUUUAUUGGUUUGUCUGUAUCAGGUAAUGAUUAACAGGGACGGUCGGGGGUAUUUGUAUUCCAGCGUUAGAGGUGAAAUUCUUGGAUCGCUGGAAGACAGACAGCUGCGAAAGCGUCUACCAAGGACGUUUUCAUUGA